UCUGACUCUGGAGAGUAUUUCUGUUCAGCUGAGAACAAGCUGGGACGGAGGACAUCGGAAAAGUUUUUUAUUGAUGUGAAAUAUAAAUCCCCAAUGAUCAUGAACAUCACCAGGUUGGUUCUGGGGGUUCUGGUGCUGAUUCCUCUGCUCCUUGUCUGUCUCUGGAUGAGGAAGAAGAAGGCUUCGAGCUCUUCCACUGAAGCGAAUGAGCCCAUAGAGACUGUGGAGAUAGAUCAUUUUUCUGUGUAUGAGAACGUCUCAGACCUGAACAUGGUCUCUGCAGAACAGACAGA